CCAUGUCGUGAACCAACCAAACCAGCCAACCAGGGUUCUAUGACUCUGUUCAAAUGUUAAAAAUUAUUUUUUUUAAAUACAAAGUAUAAAACGUGCACCAUCGCCUUUUCCGGAGAGGGAAACGAUUCGUGGGUGGGGAACCGACUUGAUACCGUGUGCUGAAACCCAUAAUAGUGUCACUUGAUUAUCUGGAUUCAUCAGCUUUACAUCGUGUUUCCUCUAAGAUGUAAAUUGCAAUGUAGGAGGAUCCCACGCUUUUUGGUGCUAUGUAUCUGUGGUGGCUGCUAAAUGUACGUUGCCUCAUUUGUUUUGAAAGUUGUCUGGGAAGUAGUGAGGGCUAACCACAUAACAACAAAAGGUGUGUAUUACGUGUUGGGUAAAUGGUUUGUUUUUGUAUGAUGAUUUGUUAUCCCUGGCAUACAACACCUUGGUGAUAAUUCAACAAUGUGUUGGGUUUGUUCGUGUGGGGUCAUGAGGUGGCCAGGUUUUUCCUGUGGUUGCUGCCUGGAGAAUUUACAUGGAGGUAGGGCUCGGCCCCGAUUACCCGAGAACCAGCUUUCUACUGGAAUAUACUGGCGCGACACACAUAAAAUUUUGUUUUUAAAGUUUUCGUUGUUGAUUAGCGCCAGUACCUUCCGGUAGUAAGCUGGUUCUCGGGUAGUCGGGGUAGAUCCCUACAUGGAGGCUUUGCGUGGUGAAAUGGUGUUCAAUGUUACCAACUUCCGUCAUUUUGGUUCCAUUCUGGGGAUGCAUCAGUUUCGUUCCAGGAUUUGUCGGCGUUAGUUUUUCGUCGCCAGUUCGUGACGCUGUUUCAAACGGGUAAUUAUGUUGACAUCACUUUGUCUUGAUCCCGAUCGCUACGCCUCUCCAUAUCCAGUAGGAAGAAAGGUUGUGCCGUAUACGGGGUAGCAGUUUGACAGCGCCUUUAUCCUGUUUUUUUUUUAAAUACUACUCUUUGUAGGGUUGGGUUAGUCUCUGGUGACUGUUGCGGUGGAUUCCGUACCUUAGGUCCUGGGUUUAGCGCAUGUGCGAUGGGUCAUCGCAUUUGUAAUACGUCAUGCGGAUAGCCCAGUGUCGUUGUUCGACGCUUGAGUCUGCUGUGGCGAUUUUUUGUUGGUGUUUCCUUACGGGUUUGGUGUUAAUUUCUUCGUAGGGUUGCGGCAAUCUCUGAUCCUCUCGUCGAGCAGUUCGCUUUCACUCCUCAGGUUUUUGGUUGCUGAAUUUCGCGUAUGAUUAGUCGUUCAGCAUGUCACAUACUGAGCUGGUUGCCGUUGUUCGUGUUCUCUUGGUAUUAAUUAAUUCUUUCCCAUUUUGUUGUUUGAGUGAUAAUUUCCUAUACCGCCUCAGGCCGAAGAAUAGUGUUGAAUGGUUUUCCUUAAUGACGACCGUUAGCUUCAUUCAGGGAUUGUUCAUUUUGUUUUGAAGAUUAUGAUGUCAUGUUAAAUUUUGCUUAGAGUUUGCUGUGGGGAUUUUUAAAUAAAAAAUAAGCACGUUCAUUCCCUUCAACCAAUUGUCAACGCGAGGGAAUUUCCCUUACGACACUUUCAUUGUAGCUGGCAGUGACCGUAAUUAUGGCUUACUUAGCCCAUACUUAUCAAGACCUGCCCUCUUGGUUCUCCGACCUAAAAACUAUCAUCUUCAAAAACUUCCAGGUUUGUUAUGGUCGUAGAACAGCAGACGACGGAGUUCAAAGCGGUAUUGUACCAUCGGGCAGAACCCAAACGGUCGAUGCAUUGAAAAUGUCGGAUCUCUGUUGAUGAAUUUUCACCAGCACUCUUCUACAAGACGCAUGUGAAGCAAACGAUAGCGAAGGAGAUAUGAACUUGAAUUGGUUGUUUACAACCCAUGGCUUUCCCGCAUUCCAGGAUUAGUAUUAUACACCUUUCGCACUUGUACAGAGCGUUCGGAAACAAAAUUAGUUGUGAAUGGGUUUGCUGUUGACAAGCAAGGGAAGGAUUUGGAUUUUUACCAAACUAGACAAGAAUGAAAUUUCUUGUGGCUGAUGGUCUUGUUGACUGACAAGGAAGGAUUUUUUAAACCAAAGUAGACAGGAUAUUUAUUCUAAAUCCUACAAUGUCCUGGUAAUAAAUCACAUGAAAAAUGCUAAAAGGAUUUCGCUGUAUUAAGUAUAUGUUUCAGCAAAAUUUUCAUGCUAAUUCGUGUUUUUUCUUCAAUGUAGACUACAAAUCAUACUGAAUUAGAAUUUUAACUGAGGCUGGGUGCCAAAACAAUGGAAGUGCGAUUGGAAAUAUCCAUGAUUUAUUAACGUUCUCUCAUGUUACGGUGUUUUAUUAAAGGCAAAUUGAAGUGCA